rnacentral:rRNA from 1 species
GAGUUUGAUCCUGGCUCAGAUUGAACGCUGGCGGCAUGCCUUACACGUGCAAGUCGAACGGCAGCACGGGGGCAACCCUGGUGGCGAGUGGCGAACGGGUGAGUAAUACAUCGGAACGUGUCCUGUAGUGGGGGAUAGCCCGGCGAAAGCCGGAUUAAUACCGCAUACGCUCUACGGAGGAAAGGGGGGGAUCUUAGGACCUCCCGCUACAGGGGCGGCCGAUGGCAGAUUAGCUAGUUGGUGGGGUAAAGGCCUACCAAGGCGACGAUCUGUAGCUGGUCUGAGAGGACGACCAGCCACACUGGGACUGAGACACGGCCCAGACUCCUACGGGAGGCAGCAGUGGGGAAUUUUGGACAAUGGGGGAAACCCUGAUCCAGCAAUGCCGCGUGUGUGAAGAAGGCCUUCGGGUUGUAAAGCACUUUUGUCCGGAAAGAAAACCUCUGGGUUAAUACCCCGGGGGGAUGACGGUACCGGAAGAAUAAGCACCGGCUAACUACGUGCCAGCAGCCGCGGUAAUACG